AGUGAACGCUGGCGGUAGGCCUAACACAUGCAAGUCGAACGGCAGCACAGUAAGAGCUUGCUCUUACGGGUGGCGAGUGGCGUACGGGUGAGGAAUACAUCGGAAUCUACUUUUUCGUGGGGGAUAACGUAGGGAAACUUACGCUAAUACCGCAUACGACCUACGGGUGAAAGCAGGGGAUCUUCGGACCUUGCGCGAUUGAAUGAGCCGAUGUCGGAUUAGCUAGUUGGCGGGGUAAAGGCCCACCAAGGCGACGAUCCGUAGCUGGGCUGAGAGGAUGAUCAGCCACACUGGAACUGAGACACGGUCCAGACUCCUACGGGAGGCAGCAGUGGGGAAUAUUGGACAAUGGGCGCAAGCCUGAUCCAGCCAUACCGCGUGGGUGAAGAAGGCCUUCGGGUUGUAAAGCCCUUUUGUUGGGAAAGAAAAGCAGCAGGUUAAUACCCCGCUGUUCUGACGGUACCCAAAGAAUAAGCACCGGCUAACUUCGUG
rnacentral:rRNA from 1 species